rnacentral:rRNA from 1 species
GGUCUGGGAUGGGCUCGCGGCCUAUCAGCUUGUUGGUGAGGUAAUGGCUCACCAAGGCGUCGACGGGUAGCCGGCCUGAGAGGGUGACCGGCCACACUGGGACUGAGACACGGCCCAGACUCCUACGGGAGGCAGCAGUGGGGAAUAUUGCACAAUGGGCGGAAGCCUGAUGCAGCAACGCCGCGUGAGGGAUGACGGCCUUCGGGUUGUAAACCUCUUUUAGCAGGGAAGAAGCGAGAGUGACGGUACCUGCAGAAAAAGCGCCGGCUAACUACGUGCCAGCAGCCGCGGUAAUACGUAGGGCGCAAGCGUUAUCCGGAAUUAUUGGGCGUAAAGAGCUCGUAGGCGGUUUGUCGCGUCUGCUGUGAAAUCCCGAGGCUCAACCUCGGGCCUGCAGUGGGUACGGGCAGACUAGAGUGCGGUAGGGGAGAUUGGAAUUCCUGGUGUAGCGGUGGAAUGCGCAGAUAUCAGGAGGAACACCGAUGGCGAAGGCAGAUCUCUGGGCCGUAACUGACGCUGAGGAGCGAAAGGGUGGGGAGCAAACAGGCUUAGAUACCCUGGUAGUCCACCCCGUAAACGUUGGGAACUAGUUGUGGGGACCAUUCCACGGUUUCCGUGACGCAGC